AUUGAACGCUGGCGGCAGGCCUAAUACAUGCAAGUAGGACGCAGUUGCGAACGGGUGAGUAACGCGUAGGUAACUACCUAUUAGAGGGGGAUAACUAUUGGAAACGAUAGCUAAUACCGCAUACUAGUAGAUGGACCUGCAUUGUAUUAGCUAGUAGGUAGGGUAAGGGCCUACCUAGGCAAAGAUACAUAGCCGGCCGGGGAGGGUGAACGGGCACACUGGGACUGAGACAAGGCCCAGACUCCUACUGGAGGAAGCAGUAGGGAAUCUUUGGCAAUGGGGGGAAACCUGAACGAGCAACGCCGCGUGAGUGAAGAAGGUUUUCGGAUCGUAAAGCUCUGUUGUUAAGGAAGCGGUACUUAACCAGAAAGGGACGGCUAACGACGUGCCAGCAGCCGCGGUAAUAC
rnacentral:rRNA from 1 species